rnacentral:rRNA from 1 species
UACAGAGGGGGCAAGCGUUGUUCGGAAUUACUGAGCGUAAAGGGCGCGUAGGCGGCCGCCUAAGUCAGACGUGAAAUCCCUCGGCUCAACCGGGGAACUGCGUCUGAUACUGGGUGGCUUGAAUCCGGGAGAGGGAUGCGGAAUUCCAGGUGUAGCGGUGAAAUGCGUAGAUAUCUGGAGGAACACCGGUGGCGAAGGCGGCUUGCUGGGCCUUACCUGGACGCUGAGGAGCGAAAGCGUGGGGAGCGAACAGG